GCGGCGUGCCUAACACAUGCAAGUCGAGCGAGGGUUUGCUCAGUAUUGAGUAUUCUAAGACUAGAGUGUUCAAUUCUGAGCAAAACCAAGCGGCGGACGGGUGAGUAACGCGUGGGUAACCUGCCCUAUACACAUGGAUAACAUACUGAAAAGUUUACUAAUACAUGAUAAUAUAUAUUUGCGGCAUCGCAGAUAUAUCAAAGUGUUAGCGGUAUAGGAUGGACCCGCGUCUGAUUAGCUAGUUGGUGAGAUAACUGCCCACCAAGGCGGCGAUCAGUAGCCGACCUGAGAGGGUGAUCGGCCACAUUGGAACUGAGACACGGUCCAAACUCCUACGGGAGGCAGCAGUGGGGAAUAUUGCACAAUGGGCGAAAGCCUGAUGCAGCAACGCCGCGUGAACGAUGAAGGUCUUCGGAUCGUAAAGUUCUGUUGCAGGGGAAGAUAAUGA
rnacentral:rRNA from 1 species